CGGGGAUAGCCUUUCGAAAGAAAGAUUAAUACCCGAUGUCAUAGUCCUACCGCAUGAUGGGAUUAUUAAAGAAUUUCGGUAUGGGAUGGGGAUGCGUUCCAUUAGUUAGUUGGCGGGGUAACGGCCCACCAAGACAACGAUGGAUAGGGGUUCUGAGAGGAAGGUCCCCCACAUUGGAACUGAGACACGGUCCAAACUCCUACGGGAGGCAGCAGUGAGGAAUAUUGGUCAAUGGACGAGAGUCUGAACCAGCCAAGUAGCGUGAAGGAUGACUGCCCUACGGGUUGUAAACUUCUUUUAUAUGGGAAUAAAAUGUUCCACGUGUGGGAUUUUGUAUGUACCAUAUGAAUAAGGAUCGGCUAACUCCGUGCCAGCAGCCGCGGUAAUACGGAGGAUCCGAGCGUUAUCCGGAUUUAUUGGGUUUAAAGGGAGCGUAGGUGGAUUGUUAAGUCAGUUGUGAAAGUUUGCGGCUCAACCGUAAAAUUGCAGUUGAAACUGGCAGUCUUGAGUACAGUAGAGGUGGGCGGAAUUCGUGGUGUAGCGGUGAAAUGCUUAGAUAUCACGAAGAACUCCGAUUGCGAAGGCAGCUCACUGGACUGCAACUGACACUGAGGCUCGAAAGUGUGGGUAUCAAACAGGAUUAGAUACCCUGGUAGUCCACACAGUAAAC
rnacentral:rRNA from 1 species